rnacentral:rRNA from 1 species
GACGAACGCUGGCGGCGUGCCUAAUACAUGCAAGUAGGACGCAGUUGCGAACGGGUGAGUAACGCGUAGGUAACUACCUAGUAGAGGGGGAUAACUAUUGAAAACGAUAGCUAAUACCGCAUACUAGUAGAUGGACCUGCGUUGUAUUAGCUAGUAGGUGGGGUAAUGGCCUACCUAGGCAACGAUACAUAGCCGAUCUGGGAAGGUGAUCGGCCACAAUGGGACUGAGACACGGCCCAGACUCCUACGGGAGGCAGCAGGAGGGAAUCGUCGGCAAUGGGGGGAACCCUUACCGAGCAACGCCGCGUGAGUGAAGACGGUUUUCGGAUCGUAAAGCUCUGUUGUUAAGGAAGCGGUACUUAACCAGAAAGGGACGGCUAACUACGUGCCAGCAGCCGCGGUAAUUC